rnacentral:rRNA from 1 species
UACGUAGGGGGCUAGCGUUGUUCGGAAUUACUGGGCGGAAAGCGCACGUAGGCGGACUGUUAAGUCGGGGGUGAAAUCCUGGGGCUCAACCUCAGAAUUGCCUCCGAUACUGGCAGUCUCGAGUGCGGGAGAGGUGAGUGGAAUUCCCAGUGUAGAGGUGAAAUUCGUAGAUAUUGGGAAGAACACCAGUGGCGAAGGCGGCUCACUGGCCCGUAACUGACGCUGAGGUGCGAAAGCGUGGGGAGCAAACAGG